rnacentral:rRNA from 1 species
UACGAAGGGUGCAAGCGUUACUCGGAAUUACUGGGCGUAAAGCGUGCGUAGGUGGUUUGUUAAGUCUGAUGUGAAAGCCCCUGGGCUCAACCUGGGAAUUGCAUUGGAUACUGGCAGGCUAGAGUGCGGUAGAGGAUGGCGGAAUUCCCGGUGUAGCAGUGAAAUGCGUAGAGAUCAGCAGGAACACCCGUGGCGAAGGCGGCCCCCUGGGCCGAACCUGACGCUGAGGCGCGAAGGCUAGGGGAGCGAACGGG